rnacentral:rRNA from 1 species
UAGAGAAGAUAAUGCUAGAAUUAGUAAUAAGAGGGGUACGCCCCUCUCCCAGCACAAUCGUGAGUCAAACAGGACCAACCGCUGACAACUAACGGACCCAAAAGAGGGCACAACAGCUAAACGUAACACAUCAAGAAAACCCUGUCCCCCUCCCCCGUCAACCCGACACAGGAGUGCGCCUAGGAAAGACCUAAAGGGGGAGAAGGAACUCGGCAAACCUAAACCCCGCCUGUUUACCAAAAACAUCGCCUCUUGCUAACAACGAAGUAUUAGAGGUCCCGCCUGCCCUGUGACAGCAGUGUUUAACGGCCGCGGUAUUUUAACCGCGCGAAGGUAGCGUAAUCACUUGUCUUUUAAAUGGAGACCUGUAUGAAUGGCAUAACGAGGGUUUAACUGUCUCCUCCCCCCAGUCAAUGAAAUUGAUCUGCCCGUGCAGAAGCGGGCAUGCCAACAUAAGACGAGAAGACCCUAUGGAGCUUUAGGCAAAUGAUCAAGCACAACAAACCCCGUUUUUAACCAAGCCCCGGGGGAAACAAAAGCCGAUGAUCAAGAUGCCUUCGGUUGGGGCGACCUUGGAGAAAAAAUAAGCCUCCAAGUGGAAUGGGAAAACCCUUAAACUAAGAGAAACAGCUCGAAGUACCAGAAAUUCUGACCAAACAUGACCCAGGUUUCACCUGAUCAACGAACUGAGUUACCCUAGGGAUAACAGCGCAAUCCUCUCCCAGAGUCCAUAUCGACGAGGGGGUUUACGACCUCGAUGUUGGAUCAGGACAUCCUAAUGGUGCAGCCGCUAUUAAGGGCUCGUUUGUUCAACGAUUAACAGUCCUACGUGAUCUGAGUUCAGACCGGAGCAAUCCAGGUCGGUUUCUAUCUAUGUCCUAGCCUGCCCCUAGUACGAAAGGACCGGAGUAGGGGGGCCCACGAGGAAGUAAGCCCCACCCCUAUCCGCUGAAAAUAUAUAAAGCGA